rnacentral:rRNA from 1 species
UCGAGAAUCUUUCGCAAUGGGGGAAACCCUGACGACGCGACGCCGCGUGGAGUAUGAAGGCCUUCGGGUUGUAAACUCCUGUCAGCAGGGGAGAACAAGCUUUUAGUGAAUAACUGAGAGCUUUGACAGUACCUGCAGAGGAAGCCACGGCUAACUCUGUGCCAGCAGCCGCGGUAAUACAGAGGUGGCAAGCGUUGUUCGGAUUUAUUGGGCGUAAAGGGUCCGUAGGCGGCCUAGAAAGUCGGGUGUGAAAUCCCACAGCUUAACUGUGGAACUGCAUUCGAAACUUCUAGGCUCGAGUGUGAUAGGGGUAAAGGGAAUUCCCGGUGUAAGGGUGAAAUCUGCAGAGAUCGGGAGGAACACCAGUCGCGAAGGCGCCUUACUGGAUCACUACUGACGCUGAGGGACGAAAGCCAGGGGAGCAAACG